GAUGAAGAACGUAGCAAAAUGCGAUAAGUAAUGUGAAUUGCAGAAUUCAGUGAAUCAUCGAAUCUUUGAACGCACAUUGCGCCCGCUGGUAUUCCGGCGGGCAUGCCUGUUCGAGCGUCAUUUCAACCCUCAAGCCCCCGGGUUUGGUGUUGGGGAUCGGCUCUGCCCUUCUGGGCGGUGCCGCCCCCGAAAUACAUUGGCGGUCUCGCUGCAGCCUCCAUUGCGUAGUAGCUAACACCUCGCAACUGGAACGCGGCGCGGCCAUGCCGUAAAACCCCAACUUCUGAAUGUUGACCUCGUAUCAGGUAGGAAUACCCGCUGAACUUAAGCAUAUCAAUAAGCGGAGGA
rnacentral:misc_RNA from 1 species